rnacentral:rRNA from 1 species
UACGGGGGGGGCGAGCGUUGUUCGGAAUCACUGGGCGUAAAGCGCACGUAGGCGGAUCUUUAAGUCAGGGGUGAAAUCCCAAGGCUCAACCUUGGAACUGCCUUUGAUACUGGGGAUCUCGAGUCCGGAAGAGGUGAGUGGAACUGCGAGUGUAGAGGUGAAAUUCGUAGAUAUUCGCAAGAACACCAGUGGCGAAGGCGGCUCACUGGUCCGGUACUGACGCUGAGGUGCGAAAGCGUGGGGAGCAAACAGG